UACGUAGGGUGCAAGCGUUGUCCGGAAUCAUUGGGCGUAAAGAGCGUGUAGGCGGUCCGGUAAGUCGGCUGUGAAAGUCCAGGGCUCAACCCUGGGACGCCGGUCGAUACUGCCGGACUAGAGUUCGGAAGAGGCGAGUGGAAUUCCCGGUGUAGCGGUGAAAUGCGCAGAUAUCGGGAGGAACACCUAUGGCGAAGGCAGCUCGCUGGGACGUUACUGACGCUGAGACGCGAAAGCGUGGGGAGCAAACAGG
rnacentral:rRNA from 1 species